GUCUGGGUAGCUCAGUUGGUAGAGCAUUUGCCCGCGAACGGCAAAAGGUCCCGAGUUCGAGUUUCGGCCCAGAACA